CCACCUCCUGUCCCCAAGUCCCCACCACCACCUCACCCUUACGUCUAUGCAUCUCCCCCUCCUCCUUACUACUACUAGAAAGCGGCCAUGAAUAGCUCAUGCUUUUAUGGUAAUCUCAUUUAUUUUUAGGCACCGUGUUCUGUUUAAUUGCGUUCCUACUGAUUAAGUGACAAAUAAAAGAGAUUGAUUAAUUUGUUCUUGUAGGAGAGGCGAAUGGUAUCCGAAUAAAGAAAGCAAGGGUUUGAUGGAAAGCUUACUUGGAGCAAGUUAGCGAUCAAUCGAGUUGCUGCGUUUUAUUCUUU
rnacentral:lncRNA from 1 species